rnacentral:rRNA from 1 species
UAGUCCACGCCCUAAACGAUGAUUACUCGACAUACGCGAUACACAGUGUGUGUCUGAGCGAAAGCAUUAAGUAAUCCGACCUGGGAAGUACGUCCGCAAGGAUGAAACUCAAAGGGAAUUGACGGGGGUCCGCACAAGCGGUGGAGUAUGUGGUUUAAUUCGAUGAUACGCGAGGAACCUUACCUGGGCUAGAAUGCUUAGGAGACCGUUAGUGUAAAGCUAAUUUUAUAGCAAUAUACUGCUAGCAAGGUGCUGCAUGGCUGUCGUCAGCUCGUGCCGUGAGGUGUUGGGUUAAGUCCCGCAACGAGCGCAACCCCCAUCUUCAGUUGCCAACAGGUAAUGCUGGGAACUCUGAAGAAACUGCCGUCGUAAGACGCGAAGAAGGAGGGGACGAUGUCAAGUCAUCAUGGCCUUUAUGCCCAGGGCUACACACGUACUACAAUGGGGAGGACAAAGGGCAGCGACCUGGUGACAGGAAGCUAAUCUCAAAAACCUCUUCUCAGUUA